CUCGAGUCUUUGAGAAUAGCAAUAGUGGCGCCGAUAUAAUGUCUUCUGGAAUAACCUAAUACAUAGGUAAGAGCAUUUUACUUAGGCUUUUAUGAUUCUUUCAUCUUUUGUCUACCUACGUAUGGACCUACAAUCUCAUAGCAAACACACCCAACAAAGGCAUUAUAGAUCUACUCAAAACCAAGAACUGGAGACAUAACAAGUUCAUAAAAAGUACACCCAAUAUUUCACGACCGCCCACCAGCCGUCCCCAUAUCUAGUUAGGCUUUUUCGAAAGAUGCAAGUGUGCCAGAAAACUUGUCGUCCUCUUCCGGGGUCUCAGGAACUUGGAUAGACCCUGCAGGAGAUUUACGGAAUAUGCGCUUGGUAUCUCGUCGACGGAGAAUGAGGAUGAUACUCAUCCAAAGAACUAAGGAGAGUGGUUGAGGUAUUGUUCGGUCGUGAUUACAUGUCCAACCUUUUCUGGCUUGGGGGAAAUCGAUUGUCUUCCAGACAAAGUUGGGAGCCUGUUAAACUUCAUUAGUAGUAUUCCUCGACCAAGGCGAAGUACAAUCGACUUACAACAGCCUGGACAACAUAAGCCAAGUCAUUUGCAGCAGCGACGAGAAUAGCUCGCUUCUCACUAUCGUCUGAGCAGAUCUCGUUGAUGAUGAUGGUGCUGUCGACGUUCUUGUAAAGUGGAAAGUGGACGAGGAUGGAGGCAAUGAUAAGCUGGCGUGGGUCGCCAACAUAGACGAACGGCCAUCGUCGUCCUCGGAAAAGACCAUCACUUAACCAAGCAAAGGCAAGAGCAACGAUAACAAAAAUUGCGGUUUGGGGUAAGGGAACUGUGGAGCAAAAUGUUCAUAAUAAGUAUCCAUAGCCAAUGAGAUCCUUGGCUACUCACGUUGGUUGAUCUGUCCAACAGAGAACCGGCGGUCGCCACCAGGGUAGGGAGGGUCGUUGAAGGAUUUUAAGAAAUAAC
rnacentral:sRNA from 1 species